rnacentral:rRNA from 2 species
AGAGGGUGCGAGCGUUAAUCGGAAUUACUGGGCGUAAAGCGUGCGUAGACGGUUAUUUAAGUCGGGUGUGAAAGCCCCGGGCUCAACCUGGGAAUUGCAUUCGAGACUGAAUAGCUAGGGUACGGUAGAGGGAAGCGGAAUUUCCGGUGUAGCGGUGAAAUGCGUAGAUAUCGGAAGGAACAUCAGUGGCGAAAGCGGCUUCCUGGACCAGUACCGACGUUCAGGCACGAAAGCGUGGGGAGCAAACAGGAUUAGAUACCCUGGUAGUCCACGCCAUAAACGAUGAGGACUAGACGUUGGAGGGUUAAGCCUUUCAGUGUCGUAGCUAACGCGCUAAGUCCUCCGCCUGGGGAGUACGGCCGCAAGGUUG